ensembl:lncRNA
GUGUGUGUGGUGGUGUGUGUGUGUGUGUGAGAGAGAGAGAGAGAGAGAGAGGUUUGUUCUGGCUGUUAAAAGAUGAACUGGCAAUAGGGGACCUGAGUCCUGGCUGAGGUCCACCCUAAUACAACCACGUUAACCUCAGAGAAGUCACUUUUGCAGCACCACACACCUUACUUUCUGCAUUUGUGCCGUAACUACAUUACUCUUCCGGUCCUACCUAUGUGAUUGUAGAUAAACCUCCAUGACGUUUUCUCUUACAGAAGCAGUUUCUUGUUGAUGGGAGAUGGAUAUUGAAAUGACACUUCCGGUUAAUUUUCCCUUGAAUGAGGAACUGGAUCCGCGCUUCACAAGUCAAACUCAGUUUCCUUUGUGGUGGCUGAGACUGGAGUCCGGAAAAUGCUAGAGAAGAGAGACUUGGCGUGGGUGACUCAAGCAUUCACCAGUGAUGCGCAAAGUGGAGUUAGGUCUCCUUGUGACAGCCUAAAUCACUCCAUUUUAUUUCCUCAAAGAUCUGACUUUUCCUUUCAACCUGUGCUACAUCCCCUCCCCUGCUCCCGCAGUCCACCCCGCAGCCGGAAGCAAACACACUUUGUUUCACGGUGGUACAGUCUUUUUGCAAAACCCCAGCAAUUCAGAGAGAUGGCCAGUUUCAUCUGAAAACAUUUUCUUAAACUUUCAAGUCUAGAGAAUAACUAGAAUUAGACUCUCAAGGCACUGCUUACAAAGAAAUCUUGCUUUGAUGAAGAUGGGAGAUAAAACCGGCCAAUUGGUUGUUUGAAUUGCAUUAAUUCUUCAAUAACCUGCCUUAAAUCUGCAGAACCUGGCACACAGUAGGCUCUUAAGCAGUACUCUUUUCUUUUUGAUGUGCUUUAUGGGGCUUGGCACUGGUUUAUUUUCUUAGGAAGAGUAAAUGUUCCAGAGCAAUUCUGCCACUGCUGUGAAUUAAUUAAGAGAAUAAUUUUUCAGUAAAGGGUUCAAAGGUUAAAUUCUAGCCCAGGCCUCCGGAGAUGAUGGGUUCCAGUUAGUGACAUUUUCUUGUGUUGUUUUCUGUUCCCUCAGUCUCCUCUCCUCCCAUUCAAAUCACCUAUUUUUGUUUGAAAACCACCCCAGAUCCUUCAGUCGUUUAUUUUGGGGAGGGGGCUAGAUUUGACUCCUCAGCAAAACAGUUCCCUUGAGAAUGAAAAACAAACCAUUUUAGACAAUAGAUUGGGUGGUGACCUGUUCAUAGAGUGUCCCCUGGGAGAAGACCAUGGGGUGGGGGGGGACACAAAGGAGAAAACUCACAAUUGAUUACCACCAUCCAAAACAUUUGUAGUCCAGUUAAGGGGGAUAUGAGAAGCAGAUGAAGAAAACAUUAAAAGGAUGUGGAGAAGAAAAUCUAUAAAUUCCCCUCAUGGCAUAGACCAAUGUUUCACAACUGUUUUAAAACCCAUGCCCACUUUUGGUAACUAUUACAAUUUCAUGCUGUCCUUUGACUGUUUGAAAUUUUAUUUAUUCAUUUUUGUUUUUUGAAAAUUUUUUGCUUUUUAGGGCCGCACCUGACACUCACCAGCUUCUCAACAUGGGCAUCUUAACUCCAAACUUCUAUUUCUUCGUCUGUAAAAUGGGGAUAGCACACAACUCUCAGAACUGUGUUAUCUGUAGCAGAUAAAGAAUGUCCAGCUUAGGGAGGGAGUUCCCGUCGUGGUGAAGUGGUUAAUGAAUCCAACUAGGAACCAUGAGGUUGCAGGUUUGAUCCCUGGCCUUGCUCAGUGGGUUAAGGAUCCAGCAUUGCCAUGAGCUGUGGUGUAGGUUGCAGAUGCGGCUCGGAUCCUGUGUUGAUGUGGUUCUGGCGUAGGCUGUUGUCUACAGCUCCGAUUCGACUCCUAGGCUGGGAACCUCCAUAUGCCAUGCGAGCGGCCCAAGAAAUGGCAAACAAACAAACAAAAAAAAGAAUGUCCGGCUUGGGAGUUCCCAUCGUGGCUCAGUGGUUAUCAAACCUGACUAGUACCCAUGAGGAUGCGGGUUUGAUCCUUGGCCUCGCUUGGUGGGUUAAGGAUCCGGCAUUGCCAUGAGCUGUGCUGUAGGUUGCAGAGAGGCUUGGAUCCUGCAUUGCUGUGGCUCUGGUGUAGGUUGGCAGCUACCGCUCUCAUUCUACCCCUAGCUGGGGAACCUCCAUAUGCCUAGGGUGUGGACCUAAAAAUACAAAAAAAAAAAAAAAAAAAAAAAAAAAAAA